rnacentral:tRNA from 2 species
GGGCUGGUAGUUCAGCUGGUAUGAAUGCUCGGUUCGCAACCGAGAGGUCGGGGGUUCAAAUCCCCCCCAGUCCACCA